rnacentral:rRNA from 1 species
AAUCUUGCGCAAUGGAGGGAACUCUGACGCAGCGACGUCGCGUGAGCGAAGAAGGUCUUCGGAUCGUAAAGCUCUGUCUUUGGGGACGAAGGAAGUGACGGUACCCAAGGAGGAAGCCCCGGCUAACUACGUGCCAGCAGCCGCGGUAACACGUAGGGGGCAAGCGUUGUCCGGAAUUAAUGGGCGUAGAGGGUGCGUAGGAGGUAUAUUAAGUCAGGUGUGAAACCCCACGGCUCAACAGUGGGCUUGCACAUGGAACUGGUAUGCAUGAGUACAGGAGAGGGAAGCGGAAUUCCUAGUGUAGUGGUGAAAUGCGUAGAUAUUAGGAAGAACACCAGUGGCGAAGGCGGCUUUCUGGACUGUAACUGACGCUGAGGCACGAAAGCGUGGGGAGCAAACA